UACCUAGAAACGCUCCUGCAAAUCAACUCCAGUACAGCUUUGUAGAGCAGAGCCCCCAGGCACCAACAGGACAUCACCUCUGCUGGCGGCCUCCCUGCUCACUAUGUGAGACAGCAAGGCGAACCCGGGUCUUGGCUCUCCUCACCAAGGAGCAGAAUCUGCCUAGGACCGACUGAGAAAACAAGCAAAUAGACUGAAAGGGCACCUGGUUACACCUGUGCAAGCCAGAAAAAAUGCAUAUAUAGUCCUUAGUGAAUUGAGUGCACUGCCCUGCUUUCUCAUUCCUUUGAAUCAAGGCAUCCCAGAAGCAGGCUGUAACAAAACAGAAGCAGGAAAGCUAAAUCAGACCUGACUUUCAAGGGACUAACCUCAGUGGGUUGGAAAGAGCACUGGAACUUUGCUGGCUUCUUCCAGCCACCAUGGACGUGUUUUAUUUAUAUGUGCCUCCCAAUUAAAAACUGAAGAGUGAAAGAGAAAGAGCUCAAACACCUACAGGGAGGAGCAUUUCCAGGAUGAGCCAUGAAGACCACCAGGGACGGGUGCAGUAAGCAACACACACUGCUGUUCCAGAUAAAAGUCAUGGUGCUCUGGGAACUGGCUGUAGCAAUAUGAACACGUGUCAUCAUGGCAAUCCAGUGCUCUCUGGCUGUGCAGCCAAAGCAGCUGAGGACCCUACCCAGGACACAGCCCUGGUACUUCCAGCGGUGCAGGACCCUGAGGAAGGAAAAACUGAAGGGUGAAAGAGAAAGAGCUCAAACACCUACGAGGAGGAGCAAUUCCAAAACGAGCCAUCAGGAACACCAGGGACGGGUGCAGUAAGCAACAUGCAUCGGAGUGGUGAGCAGAGGCAUGAUGUGACAGGUGUCUGGACUGGCCAUGAAGCAGCAGGAUCGGAACAGCACUUCAGCCUGAUAAGGUGCACGACUGUCAUUCAGGAGGGUGUUGCCACACAUCUACCUAACUACUUCAGGGAAAUAAUUAAAACAACGCCUUUAAAGAUCUUUGUUAAAAUGGUUUAAUUUAGGCUAUUUCAUUGCAAAUCUAUUCUGCAAUAAACCUGAUGGCAAAGAAGCACUUACCAACAUACAGCACUCAAUCAGAAGCAAGCGUCACAAGCAGACUUUCAUGCAGAAUGAUUACAGGUGUGCAUUACAACCACUUGCACUCUUUUCAUUCCUGUUACUACACAGCAAACCUCUUUGCACUGAGUUAAGAGCACCAGCUGCCUUCCUCUUACAAGGAUUUGGUGUCACUUGGCUCUGCUUGGAAAACGGGAGCAGCCGCUGAGUCGCAGCAGAGAGCACAAGGGCUCCUGCAGGAACACGACAGAACAUGAUCUGAUACGAGAAAUUCCUCCUACCCCCAAAUAAUCACUGCCUGUUCGCACGCCUAAACCAGACUGUAAGCUGCAGCAUGCUCGGCUGCUGUCACGUCUUCCUCUGGUAAUAAGCUCAGGGAGAAGAUCCUUGGAAAGGAAGAAUCAUGACUAGUCCCUGAAUGAAAAACCAUAGCGACUGUACCUAGCAAGGAUCAUCAUCCCAUCUAAGUUGCUGAAGAUGCCACCAAGUUCAUCAGAACUACCACCCAAAGCAGGAGCCUGCAUCUGGGAGGCAACUAGAAAAUAAAAGAUGGUGCAGUUGGGGUAUUAGCUACAGACUACUGGGCAAACAGAGAAAUCAAGAUGAGAAAAUACAACACAGAACGUUUGCUCUACGGAUAAGAGUGGCAUUUACAAAGAUGUGUGAAAGCAAGUUUGAGUGGAGGACGUAACUGUGCGCGAUCUGUUCUGCUGAAAAUCUGUCUUGGCAAACUGAGAUUGUUAUAUAUACAACCCUCCUGCAAACAGUCGAGCCAGGUUCCUAGGCCACACACUCUUCCCUGUCCUCCCACAGAUUCUUCUCCUAAGAGAGAAGGAAAGCUUAAGAAGUGGGAAGUUAUGCCCAAGGACUAUAAAAGAUCAAACCAGCAAGCAAGAUAGUUUCUGUGCCUUAAGAAAGUAUUUAGAUUCAGCUUAUGCUUUUCUUAGCAUCAAGCAAUGAGAGACCACGACGGCAGAAACCUUCUAAAUUUAAUUAUUAGUGAGCCAGUUGCAUGAGGAACUAGCAAUGCUAUCAGAUCUUCUCUGAAGAAUUACCAGAUGGCAUAUGACAGGACACCUGCCUUUAUGCAGAAUUACAGACCAUCCCAACUGCCUGCAGAGCAAGCCCUCACCACUCUAACCAAGCUGAGAGCUGCAGUUUAUUGCAGAGCACACCAGGUGCAGCUGCUCUUCAGUAAAAGUAGCUGCCCAAAUCCAGUAGCAAAACAUUAAGGUGGAAGAGGACAGACGUUUCUUCAAAAGAUGGAGCACGCUGAGCAGGGCGUUGACGAGCUGACUUGCCACCAGAACUGACUUCCCACCCUUUAGUGUUUCACCACGAAACACCCGCUUGGACAGCUCCUUGGAUCCAAUGCUGCCUCUCACCAAGACAGUAAAGAAGGAGCUUCUUCAUGCAACAAACAGCUUGCAAGAGGUGUCACCGGCAGUCUCAGCUGGGUCCUGUCCCCCUUUGCUAUCAAAGACAGGGGGGACAGAGGAGGGGAGGAGCAGACGAAGACUGCUCAGUAUGGCAGAGCAGCAGUGACAAAGAUGCAGGUGAGCACCGAGUCUGACAUUUUCUUCUGAGAAGGUCAGGGAGGUUUACAGCUCUAAUGCCAGCUUUGUUAUCACUCAAGUCUUUCCAGCAUUAUAUUCUGGCCCAGCUUCAUAGGUUGAACUUCCACAAGGAAUUGCAGUUUAUUAGACUUCAAGGGAGACUUUGGAGAAAGACGGCAGGAACAAGGGGGAUAGGCACCACUUCAAAACAGCAUGAAAGGAAGGAUGUUCCAACACUCAGUGUAGCACAUUAGAGGAAAACUAACAAGCGUUGAGGAGACAUAGAUCACAGAAAUCACACAGUGCCACAGCAGCAGCUUGAGCUCAAGCGUGAACUAAAACAGGGGAAUGACAACCGUAACAGACGAAAAGAUAUCACACCAGUAUCUUACACAGUAGGUUCAAGAUAAAUCCAGAAUCUCUUAUAUUCAUCGUUUAAAAGC